CUCAGUGAGGCUAGGUUAGUGGUCGCAGCACUAGUGAUUAAGUGAUAAACACACACACACACACACACACACACAUACAUUUACGUGUCAAUAUGAGACAGCGAGAGUUUUUCCUUGUGGCGGUGUGGUGAUGUGAAGUGGCAGUGAAGUGUGAUGAGGGCAGAGAAAGGCCUGUGAGUGAUAUUUUUUUUCUUUUCUCUUAUUAUUACUUCCAAGUUUCCUCCACAAUCGGUGAUUGGCGUGGUGUGAAGGACGUGACGGGCUUGGGAAAGUAAUUGAAUCGCCACGCCCCGUCUAGCUUCCUCUCAUCUCGUCCAGCUCCUUCCCGUCUUGCUCAGCGCCUUUCUGCCCCGUGCGCUGGUCUGGCAGCAGCUGACAGGUGGUGGUGAGCGCAGAGUCGAGGACCACACUGGGAUGAGGUGUCAGGAGGGCGUGGCGUAUGGCAGGGCACGAACAGAACCACUAUAACCACCACUGGGACUAAAUGUGACCCUCCUACCAGUUCCAACGUGACUCCUACACCACCACCACCACCACCACCACCACAGGAGCCUUAUCACUUCGGCGGAUGGUGAGUGUUCCCUUCUUUCACGGAGUUUGUAAUCAUAAGUUAACUUUGUGGUGGUUUUGUGUAACCUUGCGCCCAUCCCUGGAUUCUUUUAUAGAGAGGGUGCGGGAAGUGAAAAUUUGAGUUGCGUUUGUUUCCAUAUCGCCGUUGUUUCAGUUGCUUGCUGACUCUUUUGUGCACGUGUUUGUGUUUGUAUUGCCUUUGUACCAUUUCUGGAUGCCUUUUAUUCUAACUUUUAUCAUUUGUUGGUGGAACACUGCAAGUCACCUUAAGAAAAUAUAUGAACAGGAGAGACGAUUGUAGCUACUGCAAAUUACUACCUAUGUUGACCGUUGCACUCACCUUGACUGGUGCCACGCUGGAGACGUUAGGUUAGUGUCAAUACGGUGAUCAACACGUGCUUAUAUUUGGCGUGUGUAUGCAAAAUCUGUUCCCGCCCGGGAUCGAACCGGGGACCUUACGCGUGUGAGGCGCACGUGAUAACCACUACACUACGGGAACUGAUGAGAGGAUGGUGUGUGCGGGAAUGAGCGCUGCCUCGAUAAAGACGGUGAUGAUGAGAUGUAGGGGUGGUGGAGGAUGAGGUGAAAUAACAGAUGGAAGAGGAGAAAAGUAAGGAAAAAGAAAAGGAGAAAAAAGGUGUAAGAGAAUAUAAGGCGAAAGAAAACGAGGAGAAGGAAAAGGAGGAAAAGCAGGAAGUGAUGGAGAAUAAGGUGAAAUAAAACGAGAAGGAAGACGAGGAAGAUAAUACGGUGAAACGAACGAGAAGAACGAAACGGGGGAGAAGGAAGAGCUGGAGGAUAAUAAGUAAAAAUAGAACGAAAACACGGAAUAAAAGAAAAAGAAAGAAGAAGGAGGAGGAGGAAAAGGGGAAUGAAAGUAAGGAGGAGGAGAAAGAGAAGGACGGCCGUAAAGAAAAAAAAAAGAAAAGAAAAAUAAUCAUCAGAAUAAUAAUAAAUCAUGAAAAAAAUGCUAAAGAGAAAAAAAAAAGAAGAAAAAUAAUAAUAGUGCAGGUAAUGUUUUGACGAUUCUCAGUCAAAAGCACGAUUACAGAAGACUUUGUUAAACGGAAAUGACUCGGAGUUCCUCGAAGCGUCCAUGUGCAGGUGACGGGAAAGUGUGUUUGUUUGUGUGUGUGCUUUGUUAUAUAUGUUGUUUUCAGAUCAUCCGUCAUAGUAUUUUUUUUUUCUACCUAUUGAACAGAAUCUAACUUGUAAUCGUGAUGUUCCAUUUAGUCUUUAUGUACUUGUGGUCAAUAAAAUUUAAACUAACGUAAGCUAACCCAGUCUAACGU